rnacentral:rRNA from 1 species
UACGAAGGGUGCAAGCGUUACUCGGCAUUACUGGGCGUAAAGCGUGCGUAGGUGGUUCGUUAAGUCUGAUGUGAAAGCCCUGGGCUCAACCUGGGAAUUGCAUUGGAUACUGGCGGGCUAGAGUACGGUAGAGGGUGGCGGAAUUCCUGGUGUAGCAGUGAAAUGCGUAGAUAUCAGGAGGAACAUCCGUGGCGAAGGCGGCCACCUGGACCAGUACUGACACUGAGGCACGAAAGCGUGGGGAGCAAACAGG